UACGUAGGGGGCAAGCGUUGUCCGGAUUUAUUGGGCGUAAAGAGCUCGUAGGUGGUUUGGUUAGUCGGAUGUGAAAUCUCCAGGCUCAACCUGGAGGGGUCAUUCGAUACUGCCAUGACUAGAGGUCGGUAGGGGAGUGUGGAAUUCCUGGUGGAGCGGUGAAAUGCGCAGAUAUCAGGAGGAACACCGAUGGCGAAGGCAGCUUACUGGGCCGAUACUGACGCUGAGGAGCGAAAGCGUGGGGAGCGAACAGG
rnacentral:rRNA from 1 species